AUUGAACGCUGGCGGCAGGCCUAACACAUGCAAGUCGAGCGGAUGAGAGGAGCUUGCUUCUCGAUUCAGCGGCGGACGGGUGAGUAAUGCCUAGGAAUCUGCCUGAUAGUGGGGGACAACGUUUCGAAAGGAACGCUAAUACCGCAUACGUCCUACGGGAGAAAGCAGGGGACCUUCGGGCCUUGCGCUAUCAGAUGAGCCUAGGUCGGAUUAGCUAGUUGGUGAGGUAAUGGCUCACCAAGGCGACGAUCUGUAACUGGUCUGAGAGGAUGAUCAGUCACACUGGAACUGAGACACGGUCCAGACUCCUACGGGAGGCAGCAGUGGGGAAUAUUGGACAAUGGGCGAAAGCCUGAUCCAGCCAUGCCGCGUGUGUGAAGAAGGUCUUCGGAUUGUAAAGCACUUUAAGUUGGGAGGAAGGGUUGUAGAUUAAUACUCUGCAAUUUUGACGUUACCGACAGAGUAAGCACCGGCUAACUCUGUGCCAGCCGCCGCCGUAACAC
rnacentral:rRNA from 1 species